rnacentral:rRNA from 1 species
GACGAACGCUGGCGGCGUGCUUAACACAUGCAAGUCGAACGGAAAGGCCCUGCUUUUGUGGGGUGCUCGAGUGGCGAACGGGUGAGUAACACGUGAGUAACCUGCCCUUGACUUUGGGAUAACUUCAGGAAACUGGGGCUAAUAUCGGAUAGGAGCUCCUGCUGCAUGGUGGGGGUUGGAAAGUUUCGGCGGUUGGGUAUGGAAUCGCGGCUUAUCAGCUGGUUGGGGGGGUAGUGGCUUACCAAGGCUUUGACGGGUAGCCGGCCUGGGAGGGUGACCGGCCACCUUGGGACUGAGAUACGGCCCAGACUCCUACGGGAGGCAGCAGUGGGGAAUAUUGCACAAUGGGCGGAAGCCUGAUGCAGCAACGCCGCGUGCGGGAUGACGGCCUUCGGGUUGUAAACCGCUUUCGCCUGUGACGAAGCGUGAGUGACGGUAAUGGGUAAAGAAGCACCGGCUAACUACGUGC